GGACAUAUCAUAACGAAGAGGUAUCGUAAUUGAAGAGGUUUGGAAAGACCCACCACAGAAGGUAAUAGUCCUGUAUGUUAAACGAGAAGACUUUAGAUAUGAUCCAGAGUACCACGGGACACGUGAAACCCUGUGGGAAGCAGGAGGGACCACCCUCCAAGGCUAAAUACUACCUAGUGACCGAUAGCGUAUAGUACCGUGAGGGAAAGGUGAAAAGAACCCCGGGAGGGGAGUGAAAUAGAACCUGAAACCCUGCACUUACAAGCUGUGGAAGCACAUUUCUUGUGUGACCGCGUACUUUUUGUAGAACGGGCCAACGAGUUACGUUAAGUAGCAAGGUUAAGCACUUAAGGUGCGGAGCCGUAGCGAAAGCGAGUUUUAACUGAGCGUUCAGUUACUUGACGUAGACCCGAAACCGGGCGACCUACCCAUGAGCAGGAUGAAGCGAAAGUAAAAUUUCGUGGAGGUCCGAACCCACGAGCGUUGAAAAGCUCGGGGAUGACUUGUGGGUAGCGGUGAAAUUCCAAUCGAGCCCGGAGAUAGCUGGUUCUCCCCGAAAUAGCUUUAGGGCUAGCCUCAAGGUGAGAGAUACGGAGGUAGAGCACUGAAUGUCCUAGGGGGUAUUGCACCUACCGAAGACUAUCAAACUCCGAAUGCCGUCAUCUUAUACUUGGGAGUCAGACUGUGGGUGAUAAGAUUCAUAGUCGAAAGGGCAACAGCCCAGAUCGUCAGCUAAGGUCCCUAAAUGUAAGUUAAGUGGUAAAGGAUGUGGGAUUGCACAGACAACCAGGAUGUUGGCUUAGAAGCAGCCACUCAUUCAAAGAGUGCGUAAUAGCUCACUGGUCGAGUGAUCCUGCGCCGAAGAUUUCCGGGGCUAAAACUUACUACCGAAGCUACGGCAUCAGUAAUGAUGGGUAGGGGCGCUUCCCAUACGGGUUGAAGCAUGACCGUAAGGACAUGUGGACAGUAUGGGAGUGAGAAUGUUGGCAUGAGUAGCGAGAUGUGGGGGAGAAUCCCACAGGCCGUAAACCCAAGGUUUCCAGGGGAAGGUUCGUCCGCCCUGGGUUAGUCGGGACCUAAGCUGAGGCCGAAAGGCGUAGGUGAUGGACAACAGGUUGAUAUUCCUGUACUACCGAUAACCGUUUGAGAGAAGGGAUGACACAGUAGGAUAAGCUAAGCACACUGUUGGUUAUGUGUGCCCAAGCAUUGAGGCAGUCAAAGUAGGCAAAUCCGCUUUGAUAAUGCUGGGAUGUGAUGGGGAGCGAAAUUUAGUAGCGAAGUAGCUGAUUUCACACUGUCAAGAAAAGUCUCUAUCGAGGUUAAAGGUACCCGUACCGCAAACCGACACAGGUGGGUGAGGAGAGUAUCCUAAGGCCAGCGAGAGAACUGUUGUUAAGGAACUCGGCAAAAUGACCCCGUAACUUAGGGAUAAGGGGUGCCACCAUCAGGUGGCCGCAGAGAAUAGGCCCAAGCGACUGUUUACCAAAAACAUAGGUUUCUGCUAAGUCGCAAGACGAUGUAUAGGAGCUGACGCCUGCCCGGUGCUGGAAGGUUAAGGGGAUCUGUUAGAGCAAUCGAAGCAGUGAACUUAAGCCCCAGUAAACGGCGGCCGUAACUAUAACGGUCCUAAGGUAGCGAAAUUCCUUGUCGGGUAAGUUCCGACCCGCACGAAAGGCGUAACGAUUUGGGCACUGUCUCAACAACAGACUCGGUGAAAUUGUAAUUCCGGUGAAGAUGCCGGAUACCUGCGACAGGACGGAAAGACCCCAUGGAGCUUUACUGUAGCUUGACAUUGGGUCUUGGUACUACAUGUACAGGAUAGGUGGGAGGCUUUGAAACCAGGACGCCAGUUUUGGCGGAGCCAUCCUUGGGAUACCACCCUUGUAGUAC
rnacentral:rRNA from 1 species